rfam:Microgenomates (Gottesmanbacteria) bacterium GW2011_GWB1_49_7 TY48_C0034, whole genome shotgun sequence.
GAGACUAGCCCCUCGGGAUCGGCUUUCAGGAGCGGGUCUCAAACCGCCACAAGCUGCUGUGGUUAAGUGCCAUGGUGGUGAACGUUGAUGGAAAAGGCAGGAAUGAUCCUGUCAGGU